GGUGAACGCUGGCGGCGGGCCUAAUACAUGCAAGUCGAGCGGACACACAGGGAGAUUUCUCCUCUGACGGUAGCGGCGGGCGGGUGGGUAACGCGUGGAUCACCUACUUCUUAGACGGGGAGAACAUCGGGAAACCGCAGACGAUACUGGAGCAUACAAUGAACCGGAGGGAUCAAUAGAGAAUGGCGGCUUUCCCGCUUGUUUUAGAUGAAUUCGUGCCGCAUUAGCGAGGUGGUAAGGUAACGGCUUACCAAGGCAACGAUGCGUAGCUGACCUGAGAGGAUGAUCGGCCACACUGGAACUGAGACACGGUCCAGACUCCUACGGGAGGCAGCAGUAGGGAAUCUUCGGCAAUGGGCGCAAGCAUGACCCAGCCACACCGCGUGGGUGAUGAAGGUCUUCGGAUCGUAAAGCUCUUUUAUUGGGGAAGAACAGCUGUGUGAGUAACUCUGCCCGUUUUGACGGUACCCAAACAAAAAGCAACGGCUAACUACGUG
rnacentral:rRNA from 1 species